UCUCCUUCUGUGAUGUUGCACUAUUUGCCUUCAAUGGUUUCCCGACCAUUCCUGUAAUUUUUGUUAGUGCACUCCUCCCCCAGUAUUUGAUGUCCAAUCCAAUGAGUCUGAUCCAUAUCGGAAUCCUGUCAAUAGUCUCCUAUUUCAUAUCAAUAUCCUGCUUCCAAGGCUUAAUUACUAUUGACUUUUUAUCAAACAUUUGGACUCAUUCCUGAACUGUUUUGUUUUUGGCUUCUUCCGAUUGGGAAUCUAACAAGGAAAACUGCUUUAUUCACAAUUGCUACUUUAUCGAUACCUCUGUUUUCCCAAAUUCUUUUGAAAUAUCCCUCCAUGACUGCUAGUGGGGGGUUAGAUCACAGCACGUAACAGAUCACUGUUGUUUUCCAGUACUCAAUCUCCUCCUGGAUAUCUUCAAUUAUGAUCUUCACAUUUUGAUGUGUCAAUUCCACACUACUCAGUUCAAAUCCUUCAGUUUGAGGGAUUGGCCCCACUACCUUGCUCCAUGAGUUACCAACUUUUUGCGCUUCCCCUAUCUCUAUUUCCGCCAUUGCUUCUUCUUCGACCAUAUUAGCCCAUGAGCUCUUUUCCUGCUUUGAAUGUUACCGUUUCCGCUUUUAUUUGUCAAUUUGCAUCGACUUAGCAUUUGAUCCAUUGUUCCCUUCGCUAGAUCUAACGAGAUGAUUCCUUAUAGCACAUUUAUACUUUUUGUUUUCUUCGCAUCUGCAGAUUGUGUUACACUUUGUUUUCCUCCAUUUGUGGUGUUAUUCUGCCAUUUUUUUUCUCCUGAUCC
rnacentral:lncRNA from 1 species